ACACGUUAGAUGGGUAGGCUUGUGACUGCUUCAACCAAGAGAGUAAACAGAAGUGAUGCUAUGUGACAAGGGGAAGAAACAUAGAUCCCACCUCUCAAUGGUCUCCAUGUUGAAGCAAGUGCAGCCCCAUCUGCUCAAGAUGGCCAAGAAGUCCCACCAACCUAGAAGAAUUCAUGACAGAUGGAGAUCCAUGUUGCUCAGGCCUAACUCCUGACGUGCUUUGGCACCAGGAGUAAAAAACUGGAAUGUUCUGCUUGCUUCUGGGGUGCUGCUGACCCACUGAAGAUGUCACUGAGAACAUUGCCACUGAGAACAACUGAUAAUUUUAGCACUCUGCUGAAGGAAUUAAUCUACACUUAUUAGUUAUGGAGUAGUGUUGAAAAAUUGUUUUAACAUUUAAUUUCUGUAGCUCUCUAUAUGUUUAUUCUUUCGAGAAACUUGGUUCAUCUUUGGUGUUCAUUGAGAGCAUCUUCUAAGAGCUCGUAUCUGGAUCAAUUCUCAUAUUUGUCUUCUAUUGUAUUUUGUGUAUUUUAUAUUGAAAUCAUUGGUUUAUAUUCCUGUCUUUCUUGGUGCAGCUAUAGGCUCUUCAUGGAACUUACAGGGACAGGGAUUGUAUCAGACAUUUUAAUUAUUUGAACUGAACUCUUCAUAACCCUCAUCAUUGUCAGAGUAAGCUCUGCCCCCAAAAAAACUCAUCAAGUUUUUCUGUGAAUGUCCUACAACAUGGCUAAGACUGGUAGUUAUCACCAAACAAUACUUCCCGUUCUUUUAAGAGUAACAAAAAUCUUAGGUGGGCAUAAAACAAUACAGUAAAUACAUUUCUCAGAUUCUAUUGUAGCUAGAUGAGGUCUUGCAAUGAGGUUUUGGCACUGUAUUGUGAGCAAAGUGUGGACUCUCCCUCCCAGUUUGUGCCAGGAAAGAGGAGAAUACUUUCUUACCUCCACAUUCUGCAUUUUACUAUUUGGAUGAGGGAUAUAGUGAUGAACUAUCUCCACCCUUAAAGACAAAGACCCUCCUCUAGACAUGGUAGAAAAAACAGGUAAGAGGAUUCUGGGACCUCACAACACAGUUAUCAUAAUAGUCCUGGACUGCUCACUCCUAAACUAUGUAUUAUAUGAGGGAAAAAUAAACUUCUAUCUCAUUCAAAUCACUGAAUAACCACUUUGG